rnacentral:rRNA from 1 species
CAGCAGCCGCGGUAAUACGUAGGGUGCAAGCGUUGUCCGGAAUUAUUGGGCGUAAAGAGCUCGUAGGCGGUUUGUCGCGUCGGAUGUGAAAACCCAGGGCUCAACCCUGGGCCUGCAUUCGAUACGGGCAGACUAGAGUUCGGUAGGGGAGACUGGAAUUCCUGGUGUAGCGGUGAAAUGCGCAGAUAUCAGGAGGAACACCGAUGGCGAAGGCAGGUCUCUGGGCCGAUACUGACGCUGAGGAGCGAAAGCGUGGGGAGCAAACAGGAUUAGAUACCCCCGUAGUCCCUGUCUCUUAUAC